UGGGGAAUAUUGGACAAUGGGCGCAAGCCUGAUCCAGCCAUGCCGCGUGAGUGAUGAAGGCCCUAGGGUUGUAAAGCUCUUUCACCGGUGAAGAUAAUGACGGUAACCGGAGAAGAAGCCCCGGCUAACUUCGUGCCAGCAGCCGCGGUAAUACGAAGGGGGCUAGCGUUGUUCGGAUUUACUAGGCGUAAAGCGCACGUAGGCGGACUUUUAAGUCAGGGGUGAAAUCCCGGGGCUCAACCCCGGAACUGCCUUUGAUACUGGAAGUCGUGAGUAUGGUAGAGGUGAGUGGAAUUCCGAGUGUAGAGGUGAAAUUCGUAGAUAUUCGGAGGAACACCAGUGGCGAAGGCGGCUCACUGGACCAUUACUGACGCUGAGGUGCGAAAGCGUGGGGAGCAAACAGG
rnacentral:rRNA from 1 species